rnacentral:rRNA from 1 species
GGACUGCCUUUUGCAUAAUGAGCCUGCGAGUUGUGGUGUCUGGCAAGGUUAAGCAAACGCGAAGCCGUAGCGAAAGCGAGUCUGAAUAGGGCGCUUAGUCAGAUGCUGCAGACCCGAAACGAAGUGAUCUAUCCAUGAGCAAGUUGAAGCUAGUGUAAGAACUAGUGGAGGACUGAACCCAUAGGCGUUGAAAAGCCCCGGGAUGACUUGUGGAUAGGGGUGAAAGGCCAAUCAAACUUCGUGAUAGCUGGUUCUCUCCGAAAUAUAUUUAGGUAUAGCGUUGUGUCGUAAUAUAAGGGGGUAGAGCACUGAAUGGGCUAGGGCAUACACCAAUGUACCAAACCCUAUCAAACUCCGAAUACCUUAUAUGUAAUCACAGCAGUCAGGCGGCGAGUGAUAAAAUCCGUCGUCAAGAGGGAAACAACCCAGACUACCAGCUAAGGUCCCUAAAUCUUACUUAAGUGGAAAACGAUGUGAAGUUACUUAAACAACCAGGAGGUUGGCUUAGAAGCAGCCAUCCUUUAAAGAAAGCGUAAUAGCUCACUGGUCUAGUGAUUUUGCGCGGAAAAUAUAACGGGGCUAAAGUAAGUACCGAAGCUGUAGACUUAGUUUACUAAGUGGUAGGAGAGCGUUCUAUUUGCGUCGAAGGUAUACCGGUAAGGAGUGCUGGAGCGAAUAGAAGUGAGCAUGCAGGCAUGAGUAGCGAUAAUUAAUGUGAGAAUCAUUAACGCCGUAAACCCAAGGUUUCCUACGCGAUGCUCGUCAUCGUAGGGUUAGUCGGGUCCUAAGUCGAGUCCGAAAGGGGUAGACGAUGGCAAAUUGGUUAAUAUUCCAAUACCAACAUUAGUGUGCGAUGGAAGGACGCUUAGGGCUAAGGGGGCUAGCGGAUGGAAGUGCU